rnacentral:tRNA from 1 species
GCGCCAAUAGCUCAACUGGAUAGAGUACGAGACUUCGAAUCUUGGGGUUGCGGGUUCAAAUCCUGCUUGGCGCGCCA